GUGAAUCAUCAAAUUUUUGAACGCAAAUUGCACUCUCUUCUAAGAGAAUGGCUGUUUGAGUUUCAGCCUAAAAAAAAUCUACAUGGUCUCUGUGUCGCGGGGAGAUUCUGCGUAAAUUUGUGCGUCUUAAACCUUUGAAUGUUAAGCGGCUGAAAAUUUUCUCUACGAGUCUACGAACUUUUCUAAAAUUUGCUUACACGGUUAAGGUAGCGAUUUUUAUUAGACGUGGCCGUUGCAUCGGAUCACGUCCAUAAAGAUUGCGUUAACUGACCUC
rnacentral:misc_RNA from 1 species